UCUGGUUAGAGGAAUAGGCAGAUGUUUGUCUCUCAGUAAAGGAGAUCAUCCGUGCUUUGCACACUUGCCUUUCUUCUAGCUAUUUAAGCUUUUUCUGAUGCAGAUGCCACCCUGGAGCAUACCUUACUGUGAGCUUGUGAAGUGGCUCCUAGAACAUAUUUUCCGGCUAAGGUAGAAGAUGUUUCCUAGGGAGGACACCAGAACAGGAGAAAUAAAGUCAUAGAAAAAACAGUUCCUGGACCGGGAACCCAGGCCCAGCCCUGACACUGAGUCUCUCUGCUCCCAUGGACCAGGCACUUUUUCUCUCCAAACCUGUAAUCUAGAAAGUUUCUUUUCUAGUUCUAAAAAUCUGUGAUUCUAGGUACUGUGAAAACAAAAAAUAAGAAAGUAAGGGUAAAGAAAAUGGAGUGGAACGCUAAUAGAUGGGAAUUCAUUCAUUCACUUACUCAUUUAUUCAUUCAUUCUUCCUUUGUAUCUUCUAGCAAGAUGUCAUGGAGCCCCUAUUAAAUGAGAGGCGGGGACUGCUCACUCUCCCAGACAAGGGGGUGAGGAAAAAGGAUCACUAUUUGCUAGCACCAAGUAAAGCCCACCGUUGUCCACUGUGCAGUUAAUUCGGACCAGUGCAGGUAGCCAGAUGACAGACUGAGAGCUGGAUUCACAGGUUCCAUUCACUCAUCUCUAUAUUUCAAUGUGACCCUGAAGCAACAGAGGCUAAAAUAAGAGCAAUAGGAAAAAUCACCCCUGUUUAAAAAUAAAUGAUGAAUACAAACCUCACACCAUAUUGGAUUCCAAAGACCACAGAACUGCCAUGCCAGAACCAAAAAGAUAAGGCAGCAACAUAUACAGGAUAGAGCUUGAACUAGAAAUCUGGGUUGUUGCCCGUGAUCUGUCACCAACUACAACAUUGGUGUAGCUCUGAUCAAGGUACCUUCCAUCUCUGAGUCUUAGUCUCCUGUUCUUUAAAGUCUGGCCUGAGCUUAAACUGGAUUUUCUCCAAGGCCUCUUCCAGGUCUAAUGUUACAUGAUCGGUCGCUGAUAUUAUUCCAUAAGGUAGUAUUCCCUUCUAAAAACAGCAAAACACAAAUUCCUCAAAGCCAAAGGCAACACCUUUGUUUCCUUUGCAUGGCUGAUUAAAUUAAUGCAAACCAAGCAGGCUUUCACCGGAGAGCCUGGGAAAUUGCCGGAUAUUUGGGGAAGAUUACUGAGGUUAGUGCACAGUUGUCUUUGGCUAAGAUGUGCAGUCCUUCAGAGUUUUCUUGGAGUUUUGAUUAAGCAUAAAAUAGAGAAGCUCAAGCUAUGUAGACUCUCUAACCAAAAAUGCUUCUCAAGAAGGGCUCUUUUAUCACUUGCUAUAAGGGAGGUAUAUUUAUUCUUUGAAUCAUUUUUUAUAUCUCCAUUCCAUUCUUUGUGGUCGCAUAAAGCACACACAUCUAUUUACAGCCCUUCAAGGUAAGUACAAUCGUCCCCCUUUUAUAGAUGAGGAAAACAGGACUAACAGACAUGAGCUAAUUGGCCCAAACUGGAAAAUUGAAAUCCAGGUCUUACUGAUUCAAAAGCCUGAGCUUUUCCACAAAAUCAAUGGUUCCCAAGUAAUUCAUUCUAAAACUAAUGCUUGAGACACAUAUGAAUUUGGAGGAACCUUAGGAAUCCCUGUAUUAGCCACACAAAAGAAUAGCAGGGCUUCCUGGGCCCAUGGAAGAAGGUGACAAAGAAUAAAGGUGGAAUAUAAUGUCCGUGCUACAUCACAUAUGACAUGCUCUGACUUAGGACGCUUAAAAUUGGGAGCCUAAUUUUUGGUCUUGCUUCUCUAGCCCAUUAUUUCUAAAAAUAACACAUUUUUACUUUUCUAUAUUUCACAGGAUAUGGCAGAGUCUCCUUGAGAAAAACAAAGCAAAGAUGCUUUGCAAGUAAAUAUAUGCUGAAUGAAUGAAUUACCACAAGUUAUUCAUUCUCUGUUCAUUAAUUAAUGUUGCUUCAUUCAUCAGCUGCAUUGUCCAAUUUACUUUAGCAGACCGGCUGUCAUCAACUCCAGAGAGCUUAUGAAGGGUUGAGAUAAUUAGUCUCAAUACCCUUAAGGAGAAGUGGAGGUACAGUCUUGCUCUCUUGAAGAAUUGCACACUAAGAAACCACAAACCAGCAUCUAAGUGAGUUAUUGACUGAAUAUGAAAUGAUCAGAUUGAUGCAUACUUAAAUGUUGCAACUGCAUAGAUCUAGAAGGGAAUGUGUUUUCCAAAGUAGAUGGGAUGUUCCUUUUGCCAUGCUAAAGAUGUAGGUCUAAUCAGUCUUCUCUCUGAACUCUUAGCGAGAUGGAAAUUCUGCAGCAGGCUGCCUGCCGCCCGAUGUGCCCAGCAGAGCCGGCUUAAAAUGCAGGAAACACCUGUGGUAUAUUCUAAGAGGGCCCCUUCCCCUUAAAAUAAUCUCUUCCCCAUUAGCCUCUGGCAAUACUUGGCAUGCUGCCAUUCAUUUCUUGUGCCGAUAAUGGUUUUUUUCCUGGAAUAGGAGCGAUUGACAUGACAAGAACUGAGAUGGGGCAGUUCUGAUACAACUGACAAAGAAUUAGCAGUACAGAGCAUGAGACCCUGCAUAAAGACAAAUGGGAGAAGCCGAAGCGCAAGGUGUCAGCAGGUUUCGUCUCUUCUGAGGCCUCUCUCCUUGGCUUGCAGAUGGCCUCCUUCUCGCUGUGUCCUCACGUGGCCUUUUUUCUCCAUGUGCGUGCAUCCGUCGUGUCUCUCUUAUUCUUGGAAGAAAAACAUGUGCCUUCUGCUAACUGUCUGGUGUGUCCAGUUCUGAAUGUCAAGACCAAGUCCUGAAAAUGGGUACUGGGGACGACUUAAGAGGUGAGUCAAGGUGGGUCUCACCCACUGGAUCAGAGGGGGCUUCUCCACCACUGGGAGCAAAAACCUGUCUUCUACAGAUGGCAGAGCAGAGAAUGUUCCCCUUUCAAGAAGGCCCACUUAACUUGAUUUUUUUUCUUAAAGCUUUUCAUUCCCUCACUCAGCAUUUGUCAAGCACCUUGUAUGUGUCAAGCUGAUGAUAGGCAUUGAUGCUACACAGAUGGUUAUAACCUGGUCCAGCAAAAUCUCUUGCUGUCUGGUAGGGACCAGGCAAAUACAAAUGGAUGAGUUAAAGUCCUGCAUAAUAGAUACCUCAUUGGAACUAUGAACCAAUGACUCCAGAGAAAGAGCCACACCUGACUGCCUGUCAUCUUCUGACAGAGGAUGUCAUGUUGUAUGCGGUGUGAUCAUCUACCAAGAUCCUAGGACCAAUUAUAUGGCUCAUUGACCUGCACGGGUACCUGGAACUUCAGCUCAAACAUUUACGAUAACCAAGCAUCCAAAAGCUAUGAAAACACAGAACUGGCAGCCAAUCCAUUAAAUCACUCAAACAUCUAUUAACUAGCAAUUGUAUAAAAUUUGCUGGAUUUGAGCACUGUAAGGGUAUAGAAGGGCAAAUGAAGAUCAAUAACAGGAGAGGAAAGAGAAGAGUAAAACAGUUAGCAUCUGUUGAUGGCCAGGCAUCAUAUUAAGUAUUUCAUAUAUAUUAUUUAAUUCUGAAAGGAUCUUUUUGUAAGUUAAGAAGCUGAGGUGACAUGAGUUGCUCAAGUUCACACAGACAGCAAAGGGUGAGCCAUUGCAAUGCAAAGCCCAUGUCCAAUUCCUCACUCCUUGCUACUCUAGCAAGAGUUCUGGGGGUAAGUUUUGUAAGGAGAGAAAGAAAAGAGAGAAAAUCCUUGACAGUAAGUGAAGCAAAAGCCUGGAUAUCUGAAUGGGAGGAGACACCGUUGCAGAGCCCAUCCGUCCUGAUUUUCCCAGAGGCACGGGAGCAGAGCACGUCCCCACCGAACCUAAGCACGCGGAAAGAUGCCCACAGAUUGCUGCAUUUGUAUUUUUACUGAGCCAGCAUUGAGGAAUUCCACAGACACAUAUGUUGUGUACAUACGUGGGCUAUCACUUUUUAGGUGGAUGUACGUGUUAGGAUUAUCGAAAUAAGCAUCCAUUUAAAAGAAUGAU
rnacentral:lncRNA from 1 species